CUACUGGCGCUUCCAAAGGCGAAGCUCUCGUCUUUGGCGACCAGCAAACGGAGGGCUAAAACCUAUAGUUUUAAAGCAAGGGAUGAGCGCGAAAGCCGUUGCGCUUCCGUACACGUGCAUACGUUUUCUUGCUGGGGCGGAUACGGAUUUCUCUCUAAAGGUGAAGAAAAAGAAGUGGGCGAACACUCGGCCCAGCAGGCGAACAUGCCGGCUCCGGCUCCGCGCACCUGUUGACACCUUUAGAAGCACUUUCAUGUGUGAACCGAAGUCGUCUUGCCGAACUCCUUCCUUUCUCAUUUCAGUCCUCGCCUUUUUCAU
rnacentral:rRNA from 1 species